AGAGAAUCAUUGAGUCAAGCCACGCAUGCGCCUACAAUUCCCAAUGCUCCUCUAAGAGAAGCAUUGGUUUGGCCCGUCUACUCUUAUUGCUUCCAACUCUGAAAAGAUGACGUUACACCAAUCUGUUUGGAUUAUUAAACAUUUAAAGGAACACUACCAGCACAUACCCACUACAGUGCACUAUAGUGGUUAUGGUGCCAGGAGAGUGUCCGU